CAGGAUUGUGUGAUCUAUUGCAACAACAGCAUUAUUGUGUCAUUUUGCCGUGUGCCGCGCGCCGUGUGUAUCAUUUCGUCAGACCAAAAAGGCCCAAGUUUCAUUGGAAUAAAGUUCUUAUUAACGGCAGCAUCGACCAUCGAGAUGGUGAAUUAAUGUUCUACGGAUGCAAGUCUCGUAUAUCUUCGCCUGAUGGUUUUCUUGUCAAACCAACAACAACAGUUCCCCAGUUCGAUAAAAUUGAGUUUAUAAGAUCGAACCCAAAUCGAAAGUUUGUCUUUGUCCACCAAACGAGGAAAUCCUACUCGAACAUUUUGAUGUGAUCCUCGGUAGGUUCUUUUUAAAAAGCUUUCGACUGGUCUCAACUUCACGGUGGGAUUGAAAGCCGAACGGACGAAAUAUUUUAAAGGAGCCAUAAUCCUGGAGCGGACCCGAAAUGGACCUUUAAUCUUGCCACGAACUUUUGCUUUUCGCCGACGCUCGAAUCAGUCAAUACCCUGACACUGGCAACUGUGGAUGAUUAAAGCAAUGGAUACCAGCCGUCGAGCCGUGCUUGGCUGCUGACCAGACGUUUCCACAAAGACUGCGACUGCGCUGUAACGGGAAAGCGGAUAUUGCAGCACCGACGGAUCCGACGAGGAUGACUGCAAGUCUUUUGGACAUUUUAACACGAUGCGCAUGAUCUCCAUCUACGAGAGCAUUGUUGCUAUAUGGAAGCCCUAACGGAAUACGCCUAUCGAGCCAGAUUGCGUGACAUCACCGGAAGGAGUGUCGUCGUGGAAUAGCAUCCGCGUUUUGUCCAAAAUGGGCAAAAUUAUGCGCAUUAAUAGCAACGGUUUAGCCAACGUUCACCAAAUGAAUAUUCCUAACGUUUGGGGCUUAAUGAAGAAUGCACUCGGCUAUCCAAUGAAUUCCGCACUUCCGCAUUUGCUUCCGUAUCUCAACCUUAUUCAGAAAUCUGUUUUACAGAAUUAAAAUAGCAAGGAUCAGUACGCACUUUGAAAUUAUUUUGUGAAUAUGGGGCAAAACCAGAACUUCGUCAACCAGAAAAAGUUUGCAGAUCAAAGAAAGGGAGAAGGCGGAAGAGAUGACGCAAGGGCGACAAGGCCUGUGGCGAAAAAGAACAUUGAACUCGCCGUUGUUCUCGCACUCGACAACAUCGUAUUUUGCUUGUUGCAUCUAUCCAAAGGCAAAAAAGUUUGUCGAUUUGAAAAAUGGAUCGGAAAAUUUUGAUUGUCGCAGCUGUGAUGGCAUUCAUAUUGACGGUGCUCAUUAACGGCGUUCAUAGUCAUACAUUUAAUCUUGGUUCUUGUCCUCGAGUUGAGCCAGUCAUUGAUUUUGACAUGUCAAAGGUUAAGUUAGAAAACAUCUCAUCGUGUAUAUCGUGUAUAUAUAUACUGAAGAGGAAUAGGAACUGAUUUAUAAUAUUUUAUUUGAUUGAUUUCCUAGUUUCUUGGAGGUUGGUAUGUCAUACAGAAAUUUUCAACAGCUUCCUCUUGCUGGAUAUACGAUUUUAAUGGCAACAAUUCCGAUCAUUCACUAAAAAUUGUCCAGUCACGCAACCAUGUCGCUCUGGAUACCAUUGGUCUAGACAACAAUUAUCGUUACACUGGAGCACUAGAUGUCCCUGAUUCGAAUCAACCCGGCUUUAUGUGUGUGCGAUUUCCGAUGAGUAAGGAAUCUCUUUUGAAAAUUAACGUUUGUGACCAAAAGUUGUGUAUCAUAACGGGAAUAGUCAAAUUAGGAAUAUUGCUCACAAUAAAGGUUUGGCAGGCAAGGCUGAUUAUAUGUAGUAUUCGCAACGGAUUACGAAAAUUAUGGAGCUAUUUAUACAGCUGUCAAAGCAUUUUAUUCGGCCAUCGUCGUUCCGCUUCCAUCCUUUCCCGUCGCCCGACUUUGGAUCAACCACAAAUCAACAAGAUUCGUUCAAAACUGGAAAGCUUCGGUGUGAAUCCUCACGACUUUUCCAUUAUUGACCAUUUAGAUUGCAAGUUGCUCCCUUCGAUAAGUCUACUGAACGUCGAAGUCAACCCUCAUACUUUCAGUAGAGGAGAGCGGACCCAAACCGAACAAAAAACCUAUUUUAGUCAUAAAUAGUUCCGUGAGAUAAAAGACUGGGUAAUGGAUGUAUGAUGUUAAUUGAUUCACAAAUUUGUAUUAAAAGGGUGGGAAAAGGCGCACACUGUAAAACAAAAAGGAUAAAUGUGGCUCGAAAUGUGGUUUUCAAUAAUUCUGAAAUACAAAAAGAAAAGCGGGUAAAGCUUCGAACAAG
rnacentral:misc_RNA from 1 species